rnacentral:tRNA from 1 species
CCGAUUAUAGCUCAGCGGUAGAGCGGGAGACUGUAGUGUCUUAUAGUAAUCUCUAGGUCCCUGGUUCAAAUCCGGGUGAUCGGA